AUAAAUAAAUAAUGUGUUAGCAGUGAUCAACUAACUAUUAACAUCACACAAAGCAUUCAUCUCUCAUCAAGCAAAACAAAAGAGUUCAUUCAUCGAGUACACUACUAAAGCAUAACCCAGCCAUAAUAUAUUUACGAUUUAUGGAAGUGGUAGUUUAUCCACGCUUAUUUCAUUUCAGAGUAGUUUGUUCAUAAAGUUUUGAUGAUACUAUAGUUUCCUUUUGAGUUAUUAAAUUUUAUAAGUUUCAUAUUUGUUCAUUUAGAUUAAAUGAGUAAAAAUAGCAUUAUUUUUUAAGCAAAAAUGUAUUUUUUUUGUCCAUGUAAUGUUAGUGAAUUUGAGUGUUGGUUGGUUCGUAAACAAAAUUCUUUCAAUUUGCCUCUGUAAUUUUAGAUUGCUUUCGUUUUAGUCAUCAAUGUGACCACGUCACACAAAAAUGUAGACAUGGGCAGGAUAUGCUGACUAGACCACUACCACAUGUUUAGCAGGCACAACCUCAACAAUUAACCAUUAAUGACUAGCAUUCUUGUCACCCCUCUACCCUUCGGUCACAAAUGAUAGACGACUCUAUUGCGGCGAAAGCAACGAAAAUAUUAUGUAAAACAUGUGUAUAGUAUUUGUGUACAAGGGCUUCCAUUAUAUCUCUCACUUGCAUGUUAAUGGUAACCAUGGUUUGUUGUGGGUUAUUAAAGCUCCGCCAAAAGCUAAAAAGACUACUUUGGCAUAUUUGUCGAAAAUGUGUUUCGACUCAGGUCCGGUUGCUGGAAAAAGAGCAGGUUAUUCGUAAGGUUGUGGUUUGUUUAAUGUAGAGGAUAAUAAACAUGUAUUUUUCAAGUUCCAAGUAGUCAAAGUAUUUGGAAUAUGUCUUGGGUUUUUUCUAGGCCAUUUUGAAUAUUAGUAAGAAAUCUAAAUUUUAGCAAGUAUUUUGAUUUUUAAUUUUGGAUAUCCGAAAACUUAGUUUAUAUGCUCCAUAAAUUUAUUCAAUUCUAGAAAACUUUUUAGCUAUCUCAAAUAUUUUACGGGGAUGAAGUGAAUAAAAGGUUAAAAUGAGGUUUAAGGUUCAAUUCCUGGCAAGAUAAAAGCUAACAUAUCAAUGUAAAUAUACUAACAACUAAGUAUUAACAAUUUGUCAUUCAAAAAAAUAAAAUGUUAAAAUGAAAAAAGAAAAAAAAAAUUGUAGGGGUGUGAGAAAGUUCACCGAAUUUGGGCCUUUUAGAUUAAAUAAAGCCCAUUACGAGCUUAGGGUUUCUUAUCUUCGCUAUAAAUUGCUGCAACCUUGUCUCUCUCAUUUUCAGCUGCCAUCAACUAGGGUUACGACAGCACCGUUCAAGAUGAGAGCCAAGUGGAAGAAGAAGCGUAUGAGGAGGUUGAAGAGGAAGCGCCGAAAGAUGAGACAGAGAUCUAAGUAGACAGUUAUUCUCACCGAUCGUAGUUUGUUUCUUCGUAUGUUUUUGUUGUUAAAUGCGAUCUUUCGCAUAAUUGUCUUGAAUAUUUUCUUAAUGUUAUGAUACAUUAAUGGUUUUAUAUCUUAAUCGUAUUAGUUUGGUUUAAACAAUUGCUUAAUUUCUGUAUGAAUUAUUAAAUUUCGUUAUUUCCGUUUA